rnacentral:sRNA from 1 species
CCAAAGGGCCAGUAACACCAUUUGGGCCCAAACCCACCAUCACUCUCUCUCUCUCUCUCUCUCUCUCUCUCUCGAAA